rnacentral:lncRNA from 1 species
ACACAAGCAGAGCACAGGGCAUGAAGUCAGGCACAGAGGGGCCAUCUAAGAGACUCCUAGGCAGUUCCAAGUCUUGGCCUGAGAGUUAGCAUUGAUGAAGCCCUAUUUCCAACAGAGAAUGAUUAUGACAACUUGUUUUUUGGGAUACAGAUGUGGCUAGACUGUAAUGGUUGCCUUUCAGAUCAGAGUCCCUGAUGACCUGGCUUUCUCAUUGUGGCUUCAGUGCAAUAGAAGAAUGUACUCUCUUGUGAAUCACUGGCCAUGGGACCUCACUCCUUAGAGACAUCUGUCCACUGAGACCUCACUUUACUGUUGCAGUGACUAAGUAGGAAAUAGGAACCUCAAGGAAAGUGAUGCUGCAGUCACCAACUCCUCAGAGCCACGGUGCAGCCCCAGCCCCUGCUCCCAUGACACAGCCCUGCACCUGAGCAGCACGCAGAUCUCAGGACCAUGCUUCUACAGUCAAAAACCUUUUCAUGGUGCCAGGACACUGAGCUUUUACACUGUCCAGAUGCCAUGGAGAUUUGGCCAGUUGAUUUAUUGAAAUCAGUUAUUAGUGCUGUACAUUGGUACUUUGAACAUGCACCCUAACCAAGA